GUCAAAGUUUCGGAUAUGAUGUCAUUAGGUGAAUUUUUGCUACAAAGGAAAACUAAUUUGCAAUUCACCUAAUGACAUCAUAUCCGAAAACUUUGAC